rnacentral:rRNA from 1 species
UACUAAGGGCGCACGGUGGAUGCCUUGGCAGAAACAGGCGAUGAAGGACGUGGCAAGCUGCGAUAAGCUUCGGGAAGCCGCACACAGGCGUUGAUCCGGAGAUUUCCGAAUGGGGAAACCCACCAUGGUGAUCCCAUGGUAUGUCCUACUGAAUACAUAGGUAGGAACAGGCGAACGGAGGGAAGUGAACCAUCUCAGUACCUCCAGGAGUAGAAAGAAACCUCGAUUCCGAGAGUAGUGGCGAGCGAAAUCGGACAUAGCCCAAACCCGUGAUAUUUCGGUAUCUCGGGGGUUGUAGGGCCUGCACUAGUAGAGUUACCAAUCCAGUCGAUAGCUGAAGACCGUUGGAAAGCGGUCCCAAAGAGCGUGACAGGCGCGUAGGCGAAAUUGAUCUGGACUCGAAGCAGGUACCUGAGUAAGGCGGGGCACGAGAAACCCUGCUUGAAUCCACGGGGACCAUCCCGUAAGGCUAAAUACUCGUUUCUGACCGAUAGUGAACCAGUACCGUGAGGGAAAGGCGAAAAGAACCCCUGUGAGGGGAGUGAAAUAGAUCCUGAAACCGUGCACGUACAAGCAGUCGGAGCCCGCUUUGUUGGGUGACGGCGUACCUUUUGUAUAAUGGGUCAGCGACUUAUUCUCAGUAGCGAGGUUAACCAUCUAGGGGAGCCGUAGGGAAACCGAGUCUGAAUAGGGCGUUUAGUUGCUGGGAAUAGACCCGAAACCGGACGAUCUACCCAUGGGCAGGUUGAAGGUGCGGUAACACGCACUGGAGGACCGAACCGGGAUCUGUUGAAAAAGAUUCGGAUGACCUGUGGGUCGGAGUGAAAGGCUAAUCAAGUCCGGAGAUAGCUGGUUCUCCCCGAAAGCUAUUUAGGUAGCGCCUCGUAUAUCACCACCGGGGGUAGAGCACUGUUUCGGCUAGGGGCCCAUCCCGGGUUACCAAACCGAUGCAAACUCCGAAUACCGGUGAGUGCAGUACGGGAGACACACGGCGGGUGCUAACGUCCGUCGUGGAGAGGGAAACAACCCAGACCGCCAGCUAAGGUCCCCAAAUUCCAGUUAAGUGGGAAACGAUGUGGGAAGGCUUAGACAGCUAGGAGGUUGGCUUAGAAGCAGCCAUCCUUUAAAGAAAGCGUAACAGCUCACUGGUCUAAAUAAGGGUUCCUGCGGCGAAGAUGUAACGGGGCUAAAGAUAUGCACCGAAGCUUAGGGUUCAGAAUUUAUUCUGAGCGGUAGCGGAGCGUUCCGUAAGCGAGCGAAGGAGAAGGGUAACCGACUCUGGACGUAUCGGAAGUGCGAAUGCUGACAUGAGUAGCGACAAAGAGGGUGAGAUGCCCUCUCGCCGAAAGACCAAGGGUUCCUGCGCAACGCUAAUCGGCGCA